AGAGCGAACGCUGGCGGCAGGCCUAAUACAUGCAAGUCGAACGGACCCUUCGGGGUUAGUGGCGGACGGGUGAGUAACACGUGGGAACGUGCCCUUUGGUUCGGAACAACUCAGGGAAACUUGAGCUAAUACCGAAUGUGCCCCCAUCCUUAAACAAGAUGGGUGGGAAAGAUUUAUCGCCAUUGGAGCGGCCCGCGUCUGAUUAGCUAGUUGGUGAGGUAAAGGCUCACCAAGGCGACGAUCAGUAGCUGGUCUGAGAGGAUGAUCAGCCACACUGGGACUGAGACACGGCCCAGACUCCUACGGGAGGCAGCAGUAGGGAAUCUUGCGCAAUGGGCGAAAGCCUGACGCAGCCAUGCCGCGUGAAUGAUGAAGGUCUUAGGAUUGUAAAAUUCUUUCAGCGGGGACGAUAAUGACGGUACCCGCAGAAGAAGCCCCGGCUAACUUCGUGCCAGCCAGCCGC
rnacentral:rRNA from 1 species